rnacentral:piRNA from 1 species
UUCCGUGAGUGAUUCUGUAUAGUUUGAAC